CUCCUAUGGGAGGCAGCAGUGGGGAAUAUUGGGCAAUGGGCGCAAGCCUGACCCAGCAACGCCGCGUGAAGGAAGAAGGCUUUCGGGUUGUAAACUUCUUUUAAGUGGGAAGAGUAGAAGACGGUACCACUUGAAUAAGCCACGGCUAACUACGUGCCAGCAGCCGCGGUAAUACGUAGGUGGCAAGCGUUGUCCGGAUUUACUGGGUGUAAAGGGCGUGCAGCCGGGCAUGCAAGUCAGAUGUGAAAUCUCAGGGCUUAACCCUGAAACUGCAUUUGAAACUGUAUGUCUUGAGUGCCGGAGAGGUAAUCGGAAUUCCUUGUAUAGCGGUGAAAUGCGUAGAUAUAAGGAAGAACACCAGUGGCGAAGGCGGAUUACUGGACGGUAACUGACGGUGAGGCGCGAAAGCGUGGGGAGCGAACAGGAUUAGAUACCCUGGUAGUCCACGCUGUAAACGAUGGAUACUAGGUGUGCGGGGACUGACCCCCUGCGUGCCGCAGUUAACACAAUAAGUAUCCCACCUGGGGAGUACGAUCGCAAGGUUGAAACUCAAAGGAAUUGACGGGGGCCCGCACAAGCGGAGGAACAUGUGGUUUAAUUCGAUGAUACGCGAGGAACCUUACCCGGGCUUGAAUUGCAGAGGAAGGAUUUGGAGACAAUGACGCCCUUCGGGGCCUCUGUGAAGGUGCUGCAUGGUUGUCGUCAGCUCGUGCCGUGAGGUGUCGGCUUAAGUGCCAUAACGAGCGCAACCCCUCUCCUUAGUUGCCAUCAGGUUAAGCUGGGCACUCUGGGGACACUGCCACCGUAAGGUGUGAGGAAGGUGGGGAUGACGUCAAAUCAGCACGGCCCUUACGUCCGGGGCUACACACGUGUUACAAUGGCAGGUACAGAGAGACGGUCCCUUGCAAAAUGGAUCAAAUCCUUAAAGCCUGUCUCAGUUCGGACUGGGGUCUGCAACCCGACCCCACGAAGCUGGAUUCGCUAGUAAUCGCGCAUCAGCCAUGGCGCGGUGAAUACGUUCCCGGGCCUUGUACACACCGC
rnacentral:rRNA from 1 species